UACGGGGGUGGCGAGCGUUGUCCGGAAUCACGUGGGCGUAAAGGGCGCGUAGGUGGUUGAUAAGGGUGUGGUGAAAGUCCGGGGCUCAACCCCGGAUCUGCCGUGCCGACUGCAAACUCGAGGGCGUGAGAGGCAGACGGAAUUCCGGGUGGUAGCGGUGGAAUGCGUAGAGAUCCGGAGGAAGACCGGUGGCGAAGGCGGCUGCUGGGCAGUUCUGACACUGAGGCGCGACAGCGUGGGAGCAGACAGG
rnacentral:rRNA from 1 species